rnacentral:rRNA from 1 species
GACGUAGGGCGCAAGCGUUGUCCGGAUUUAUUGGGCGUAAAGAGCUCGUAGGCGGCUUGUUGCGUCGGCUGUGAAAACCCGGGGCUCAACUUCGGGCUUGCAGGCGAUACGGGCAGACUUGAGUGUUUCAGGGGAGACUGGAAUUCCUGGUGUAGCGGUGAAAUGCGCAGAUAUCAGGAGGAACACCGGUGGCGAAGGCGGGUCUCUGGGCCGUAACUGACGCUGAGGAGCGAAAGCAUGGGGAGCGAACAGG